GUAGGGAGCAAGCGUUGUCCGGAAUCAUUGGGCGUAAAGCGCGCGUAGGUGGCCUCAUAAGUCCGCUGUGAAAGUCAAAGGCUCAACCUUUGAAAGCCGGUGGAUACUGUGAGGCUAGAGUACGGAAGAGGCGAGUGGAAUUCCUGGUGUAGCGGUGAAAUGCGCAGAUAUCAGGAGGAACACCAAUAGCGAAGGCAGCUCGCUGGGACGUUACUGACACUGAGGCGCGAAAGCGUGGGGAGCGAACAGGAUUAGAUACCCUGGUAGUCCACGCCGUAAACGAUGGGUACUAGGUGUGGGAGGUGUCGACUCCUCCUGUGCCGUCGCUAACGCACUAAGUACCCCGCCUGGGGAGUACGGCCGCAAGGCNA
rnacentral:rRNA from 1 species